UUCAAGGAUCUUUGCCACCCUGAACAAGCCCGAUCCCGUCUGAUCUUGGAAGCUAAGCAGGGUCAAGCCUGAUUAGUACUUGAAUGGGAGACCACCUGGGAAGACCAGGUGCUGUAGGCG
rnacentral:rRNA from 1 species